rnacentral:rRNA from 1 species
GAUGAACGCUAGCGAUAGGCUUAACACAUGCAAGUCGAGGGGCAGCACGGGGUAGCAAUACUCUGGUGGCGACCGGCGCACGGGUGCGUAACAUGUAUGUAACUUGCCCAUUACAGGGGGAUAACCCGGAGAAAUUCGGAUUAAUACCGCAUGACAUCAUUAUGGGGCAUCUCAUUAUGAUUAAAGAUUUAUUGGUAAUGGAUAGGCAUGCAUAUGAUUAGUUAGUUGGAGAGGUAACGGCUCACCAAGACUACGAUCAUUAGGGGUUCUGAGAGGAAGGUCCCCCACACUGGUACUGAGACACGGACCAGACUCCUACGGGAGGCAGCAGUGAGGAAUAUUGGUCAAUGGUCGCGAGACUGAACCAGCCAAAUCGCGUGAAGGACGAAGGUUCUAUGAAUCGUAAACUUCUUUUGUAAGGGAAUAAAGUGCGGCACGCGUGCUGUUUUGUAUGUACCUUACGAAUAAGGAUCGGCUAACUCCGUGCCAGCCGCCGCAGUAA